UUUACUGACGCUAAAGCUCGAAGGUGCGGGUAUCGAACAGGAUUAGAUACCCUGGUAGUCCGCACGGUAAACGAUGGAUGCCCGCUGUUUGCGAUAUACAGUAAGCGGCCAAGAGAAAUCGUUAAGCAUCCCACCUGGGGAGUACGCCGGCAACGGUGAAACUCAAAGGAAUUGACGGGGGCCCGCACAAGCGGAGGAACAUGUGGUUUAAUUCGAUGAUACGCGAGGAACCUUACCCGGGCUUGAACUGCCAGCGAACGAUACAGAGAUGUUGAGGCCCUUCGGGGCGCUGGUGGAGGUGCUGCAUGGUUGUCGUCAGCUCGUGCCGUGAGGUGUCGGCUUAAGUGCCAUAACGAGCGCAACCCCUUUCGUCAGUUGCCAUCAGGUGAUGCUGGGCACUCUGGCGACACUGCCACCGUAAGGUGUGAGGAAGGUGGGGAUGACGUCAAAUCAGCACGGCCCUUACGUCCGGGGCUACACACGUGUUACAAUGGGUGGUACAGAGGGCAGGCGGCCGGCAACGUCCGUCCAAUCCCGAAAGCCGUCCUCAGUUCGGAUUGGGGUCUGCAACCCGACCCCAUGAAGCUGGAUUCGCUAGUAA
rnacentral:rRNA from 1 species